GACGAACGCUGGCGGCGUGCCUAAUACAUGCAAGUUGAGCGCUGAAGGUUGGUCCUUGUACCAACUGGAUGAGCAGCGAACGGGUGAGUAACGCGUGGGGAAUCUGCCUUUGAGCGGGGGACAACAUUUGGAAACGAAUGCUAAUACCGCAUAAAAACUUUAAACACAAGUUUUAAGUUUGAAAGAUGCAAUUGCAUCACUCAAAGAUGAUCCCGCGUUGUAUUAGCUAGUUGGUGAGGUAAAGGCUCACCAAGGCGAUGAUACAUAGCCGACCUGAGAGGGUGAUCGGCCACAUUGGGACUGAGACACGGCCCAAACUACUACGGGAGGCAGCAGUAGGGAAUCUUCGGCAAUGGACGAAAGUCUGACCGAGCAACGCCGCGUGAGUGAAGAAGGUUUUCGGAUCGUAAAACUCUGUUGGUAGAGAAGAACGUUGGUGAGAGUGGAAAGCUCAUCAAGUGACGGUAACUACCCAGAAAGGGACGGCUAACUACGUG
rnacentral:rRNA from 1 species